CUAUGUCGUAUCUUACGUGUGCGAGGAACCGAAUGUGUGGGUGGAAGUUCUGGCUCUCGGAAUGUACACCGUUCUCAUGUUAAUCAAUGGUAUUUUGGAGUCGUCGACACUUUGCAUUAUGCCUUUCGCAUUAGCUGGUUUAUUAUUCGCAGACUUGGUGGUCCUUAUCGUAGUCAAACGCUAAGUAAGAAGAUCAAAAUACUAAACCAUACGGAAAAUGGACCUGUUUCUAUUAAACAUUAAGCUAGUUCUCGAAUUGUGCAAUUUUUUGCAA